GUGCUUGCUUUGGCAGCACAUAUACUAAAAUUGGAACAAUACAAAAAAGAUUAGCAAGGCCCCUGUGCAGGAAUGACACGCAAAUUCAUGAAGUGUUCCAUAUUUUU
rnacentral:snRNA from 1 species